CAGAGGGUGCGAGCGUUGUCCGGAAUCACUGGGCGUAAAGGGCGCGUAGGUGGCCUGGUAAGUAGGGGGUGAAAUCUCGAGGCUCAACUUCGAGGCUGCCUCCUAAACUGUCGGGCUUGAGCAGAGUAGAGGCAGGUGGAAUUCCCGGUGUAGCGGUGGAAUGCGUAGAGAUCGGGAAGAACAUCGGUGGCGAAGGCGGCCUGCUGGGCUCUUGCUGACACUGAGGCGCGACAGCGUGGGGAGCAAACAGGAUUAGAUACCCUGGUAGUCCACGCCGUAAACGAUGGGUACUAGGCGCCGGGGGGAGCGACCCCUUCGGUGCCGUCGCUAACGCAAUAAGUACCCCGCCUGGGGAGUACGGCCGCAAGGCUG
rnacentral:rRNA from 1 species